CUGAAACCGUGUACGUACAAGCAGUGGGAGCCCCACCACCAAAGCAUUCUCUGGUGUUGAAGGCCCUGCAAAGCAGCAUCGCGGUGGCGGAGCGUCGUUUGCGACGCCCAACACACAAAACAAGCGGUGAGUGCUUUGGGGUGGGGUGACUGCGUACCUUUUGUAUAAUGGGUCAGCGACUUAUAUUCUGUAGCAAGGUUAACCGAAUAGGGGAGCCGGAGGGAAACCGAGUCUUAACCGGGCGUUAAGUUGCAGGGUAUAGACCCGAAACCCGGUGAUCUAGCCAUGGGCAGGUUGAAGGUUGGGUAACACUAACUGGAGGACCGAACCGACUAAUGUUGAAAAAUUAGCGGAUGACCUGUGGCUGGGGGUGAAAGGCCAAUCAAACCGGGAGAUAGCUGGUUCUCCCCGAAAGCUAUUUAGGUAGCGCCUCGUGAAUUCAUCUCCGGGGGUAGAGCACUGUUUCGGCUAGGGGGCCAUCCCGGCUUACCAACCCGAUGCAAACUGCGAAUACCGGAGAAUGUUAUCACGGGAGACACACGGCGGGUGCUAACGUCCGUCGUGAAGAGGGAAACAACCCAGACCGCCAGCUAAGGUCCCAAAGUCAUGGUUAAGUGGGAAACGAUGUGGGAAGGCCCAGACAGCCAGGAUGUUGGCUUAGAAGCAGCCAUCAUUUAAAGAAAGCGUAAUAGCUCACUGGUCGAGUCGGCCUGCGCGGAAGAUGUAACGGGGCUAAACCAU
rnacentral:rRNA from 1 species